UACAGAGGUCUCAAGCGUUGUUCGGAAUCACUGGGCGUAAAGGGUGUGUAGGCUGUGUGCUAAGUCAGAUGUGAAAGCCCGGGGCUCAACCUCGGAACUGCAUCCGAUACUGGCAUGCUAGAGAAUUGGAGAGGAGUCUAGAAUUCACGGUGUAGCAGUGAAAUGCGUAGAUAUCGUGAGGAAUACCAAGUGCGAAGGCAGGACUCUGGACAUUUUCUGACGCUGAGACACGAAGGCCAGGGGAGCAGACGGG
rnacentral:rRNA from 1 species